GCCACCGUGUCGGAGGCGAGGCGAGGAAGGGAGCUGGAAUAACAAAGGUGGCAGCUGAGCAUCCCUGGAGAGGGUGGGUGGUAUGAAAGCACUUCCAGACCUCUAGGGACACCAGGGAGUCAUGGUCCCAGCACAUUGCUGUGUGAUUGAGCCCCUCCUCAGCCUGUGGGUGGCCUAAGUUCACAGGGAGGUAAUGGGGUAGAUUGGAUACCUCUGGGGUCUUGGAAGAAGCUAUGACUUAUUUACUGUCUACUAUGUGGGAGCUCAGGAGGGGGAAUUGCACUGAAGAUUUGUCCCAUCGUGAAGCAAGAGCACUGGAACUUACACUCCACCAUCAGGCCCUGUCACAGGAGAACAAAGAAGGAAGGCAGAGGAGAUCAUGCUCCGGCCAGCAGGGAAUCUCCAUUUUUUUCAGCCUCAUACCUUGGAAAGUACAAAGGAGUGAGAGCUGGGACUACCAGCCAGAGGGUUCAUGGAGGUAGUGGGAGGGGAAGAUGGGUUCUGCAUGGAGCCACUCCAGGGACUUUUCUUCUGUCUCACAGCCUGACAAUCACCUCUAGCUGUUCUCAGUCCCAUUCUCAUCAAUGACCUCGUCUCCUGAUUUUGUACAAUAUCUAGGUGACCUUCUCUUCUUUCCAUCUUCAAACGCUUGAUCAUUGAUGCUCCCUUUUCUCUUCUCUCUCCUCCUGGGAAAAGAGAAGGACCAACAUCCCCCUUUCCCUUCCUCCUGUGCUGUCCCGACCCCUCUGAGACCUGGCUCUAGCAGUAAGUCCCUCUCUCUUCUGCAGCACCAGCCUCUGCCCAUCCCUGCCCUCUGCACACAAAGCUCUCACAUUGUCUGCACUUUAAGAACUUUUGUGGCAAACCCUGGCAAAUCCUGCCACUUGUUUCCACUCUUCUCAAAUGGCUUUGAGGUCAUCAUUGACCUAUCCCAUUUGACCCUGUCCUGUAUCUGAUGUUGUACCCUUUCUCCUUGAUCCCACUCUGGCAACUCUCCCACUCCCCUUUCUUGGAUCAACUGUCUUGCUCCUCAGUCUUGAUCAAUGCCUCCUUCUCUCUCUUUAGCCUUGGCCCUUUUUGGCCAGGGAAAUAAAUGUGAAAUACAUAAAGCUUCAUUUUAUCUUAUGAUUAUAGCUAUGUUGAUGUUACCCAAGACCUAAAAGUCACACUCUCUAAUUACACUUCCCUCCUGUGUUCUGGGUCCUCUUGGACCAGUCCUUACUCUGGCUCCCCUCCUGGAUGUCUCCCAGACUUCUAAUUAGAAUUACUGUUUCCUAUAUCAAGCUAAUUAUCUUUCCCACCAACCUCCUCCAUCCUUGGGUGAAAGCAUCACUUGGUUGCAAAAGUCAGAAAUCUGGGUUUCAUUCUUGCGGUAGGUAGAAUAAUGCCCCCAGGCCCCAGGUUUUGACAUCCGAAUCCCUGGGACUUUGCAGAUGUGAUUCAGUUUAGGAUUUUGAGAUGGGGAGAUUAUCUGGGAGAGCCUGAUGUCAUCAUAAGGUUCUUAUAAGAGGGAGGCAGGAGGGUUAGAGUGAGUAGUAAGAGAUGCAACAGUGGAAGCAAGAGGUUGGGGUGAUGUGGCCACAAGCCCAGGAGUGCUGACAGACAUCAGAAGCUGGAAGGGACAAGGAAUGGUUUCUCCUCUGGAGCCUCCAGAAAGAACCAGCCCUGCUGACACCUUGAUUUUAGCCUUGGAAGACUCAUUUUGGACUUCUGACCUUGAACGUUGUAAGAGAAUAAAUUUACAUAUUUUAAACUGGUA
rnacentral:lncRNA from 1 species